rnacentral:lncRNA from 10 species
GACAAAUGAUUCAACACAUAGUUUGAACUUUUAUUUAUGUUUAAUUUUUUAAUUUUUACAAGAUGCCGAUAGUAGCUGGCUUAUUAAUGUACAUUAUUCUUUGAUAUUUCAGGAAGCCACAGUGUUCAACUGUGAACUACAGAGUCCUGUAAGUUUAAAAUAACUUUGUUUCUCAACUAUGUGAUAUCCAGGAUUUUUUACAAUUACUUUGAGAUUUUUCCUCAUCAGUAAUGCAAAGAAAAUUGCAAUAUGAUUAUACAAUUUAUUUUUAUUUUUUUAGACAGGUUAUCACUCUGUCGCCCAGGCCGGAGUGCAGGGGUGUGAUUGUAGCUCAUUGCAGCCUCAAACUCCUGGGCUCAGACGAUCCUCCUUCAGCUUCCUAAGUAGCUGAGAUUACAGGCACGUGCCACCAUGCCUGGCUAAUUUAUUUUUUGUAGAGAGAGGGGUCUCACUUUGUUGCCCAGGCUGGUCUCCAACUCCUGGGCUCAAGUGAUACCCAGCCUGGGCCUCCCAAAGUGCUGGGAUUACGGGUAUGAGCCACUGUGCCCAGCCUGAUAUACAAUUUCUUCCUCAGACAGUCUGGCUCUGUCGCCCAGGCUGGAGUGCAGUGGCACAAUCUUGGCUCACUGCAACCUCUGCCUCCCGGGUUCAAGCAAUUCUCCUGCCUCAGCCUCCCGAGUAGCUGGAAUUACAGGCAUGCACCACCAUGCCUGACCAAUUUUUGUAUUUUUAGUAGAGACCUGGGGUUUCAUCAUGUUGGCCAGGCUGUUCUUGAACUCCUGACCUCAAGCAAUCCGCCCACCUCAGCCUCCCAAAGUGCUUGGAUUUCAGGAGUGAGCUUUUGCACCUGGCCUGAUAUACAAUUUCUGAUGCUAUAGAAGCAAUGUAUAACUCCUAAUUUACUAGUGACUGCUAUGCGCUUCAUUAACAUUAUGGACAUGUCGAUCCCAAAAAUCAUAUAGAAAUGUUACUUUUUUUUUGAGACAGGGUUUCACUCUGUCGCCCAGGCUGGACUGCAAUGGCGUAAACAUGGCUCACUGUAGCCUCAACCUCUCGGGCUCAAGCAAUCCUCCUGCCUCAGCCUCCCAAAUAGUUGAGACUACAGGCAUGUGUCACCACACCCCUUAAUUUUUGUAUUUUCUUUUCUCAUUAUGUUGUCCAGGAUGGUCUCAAACUCCUGGGCUCAAGGCAUCCUCCUGCCUUGGUCUCCUAAAGUGUUAGAAUUACAGGCAUGAGCCACUGUGCCCAGCCAGAAAUGUUAAACUCACUUUAUGGUUUCAGAACAAGGAUCAAAUAAAAUAAAAAUAUAAAAAAUAAAAUAUGGUUGGCCAAGUGUGGUGGCUCAGCCCUCUAAUCCCAGCCCUUUGGAAGGCCAAGGCAGAAGGCUCGCUUGAGCUCAGGAGUUCAAGACUAGCCUUGGCAACAUAGCAAGACCUCAUUUCUGCUAAAAAUAAAAAACAUUAGCCAGACAUGGUGGUCCACACUUGCAGUCCCAGUUAUUCAAGAGGCUGAGGUGGGAGGAUCACUUGAGCUUGGGAGAUCGAGGCUGCAGUGAGCUAUCAUCGUGCCACUGCACUCCAGUCUGGCGACAGAGCAAGACCUUCUCAAAAAUAAAAUAUGGUCGAAACGGGACAGACAAGGCGGCUACCUGUAACCCUGGCCGCUUUAGGAGCUGGGGCAGGAAAGUUGCUUGAGGCCAGGAAUCCGAGACCAGCCUGAGCAACAGCAGGACCCGUCUAUGAAAAAACAGGAGCAAGUAGUGGCACAUCCCAAUUGUGUCAGCUAACUGGGAGGCUGAGGCAGGAGGAUCGCUUGAGCCCAGGAGUUCAAGGCUGUACUCCAGCCUGGGCGACAAAGCAAGAACCCUGUUCUCUAGGGAAAAAAAAAAAAAAGUCAAAACAUUUCAUAAAACUUUCACACAAUGGAGGUUUAGUUAAGCUGUUACUCUUCUGUUCAAUUUUGUUGCACCUAUCAGAAGGCAUAAUUUCAUAAAAUCAGGAUUCCUUGGCGUUUUAACCACUCUCAAAAUAUUUGAUCCUACUGGAAGUUACUAUGCAAUGCUAUCUUGUCCCUGAAUCAACAUAAUUCAACUAUCAGCUUCAUAUAUAUAUAUAUAUAUAUAUAUUUUUUUUUUUUGAGACAGAGUUUCGCUGUUGUUGCCCAGGCUGGAGUGCAAUGGCGCAAUCUUGGCUCACCACAACCUCCGCCUCCCGGGUUCAAGCGAUUCUCCUGCCUCAGCCUCCUGAGUAGCUGGGAUUACAGGCACGCACCACCACCGCAGCUAAUUUUGUAUUUUUAGUAGAGACAGGGUUUCUCCAUGUUGGUCAGGCUGGUCUUGAACUCCCGACCUCAGGUGAUCCACCCGCCUCGGCCUCCCAGAAUGCUGGGUUUACAGGCAUGACCCACUGUGCCUGGCAGUUUCGUGUAUUCUUACUCCACUGGGUUCUGCUUUAUCGUAUUGACAGUAGACAUUUCAUUAAAUGAAAUGUAAAAAGAACACCAAUACAUACAUAUUAAAAUUUUCUUACUAGAAUCUUUUAGUAUAAUUUAAAAACCUGAAAUGAGAAUUCGCAUCACUUUAAGUGGGCCUCUUGGGUUUUGAGGAUGAAGUGGCUUUCUCUCAGAAAUAUCCAGCUGCCCUGAAGCCACCAUGCUAGAGAUUUUCGGGAAAGACUAUACCACUAAUAGUGAAAAGCACAAAGAGCAUCCUUUCAGCUCAGAAGUGAAAAGCUUCAUGAGACUCAGAACCAGAAGAGUCUGAUACUCCCGAGUUCUUCACCCACAGAAAAGCUUAUCAUACACCAUUGAUCUUUGGAUGCUUUGCUAACAUAGCAAGAAAUAAUAUACAGUUGAUACUGCUAAGCACCACAGCCACCACUUGGUUGGGUUCAGAAGACAUCCUACUUUACCUUUUUAAAGUUUGGUCCAAAUUUGUACCUACAACUUUUCCUUUUUUCCUGCAGCACAGGUAAAAUGUUGGAACCUUUAACAAGUUCAGGCAAUGAUGAUAUAAAGAAGUUAACAUGCAACUAGCUGCACUGGCUUCUAAAUUGAGUUCACUGACCUUACCAUGAGUUUGUAGUAACAUUUCUCUCCAAUCUCUGAAAAAGUUUUUCUCUCCAGGCCAUCUGUACGCUUUACGUAGGGACUGUUAACCAACCCACGUAUUACACAUAAGGACUCUAGGUAAAAUCUAGUGUUUGAAAAACAGCAUGUUAUAUAUUACACUAGGUUUUUCGUUUUUUUUCCAGUGGUGGGCUGUCAUUACAAAAGAUUGAACUUUUAUACACUUCCUAAUCAAACUUAAGGGGAAUCUAAACACAAAAACUAAUUCACUUUCUAGGAGCUCUUUAAAAAUGGGCUUAAACCUACAAUCCAAUCUCGUAUCUAAGUAUGAUGGAAUGCUUUUUCCCCAGUGGCAUUCAUAUAGUUCAGCUGUCAAGCAGUACCUUUCUUAAAAUACCAGACUGAAAAUAGUUCAAUUUUCUGUAAAAAGUCAGAGCCGGGCACGGUGGCUCAUGCCUAUAAUCCCAGCAGUUUGGGAGGCUGAGGCGGGCGGAUCACCUGAGGUUGGAAGUUCGAGACCAGCCUGACCAACACAGGGAAACCCCGUCUCUACUAAAAAUACAAAAUUAGCUGGGCGUGGUGGCACAUGCCUGAAAUCCCAGCUACUUGGGAGGCUGAGGCAGAACAAUCGCUUGAACCUGGGAGGCAGAGGUUGCCGUGAGGCGAGAUCGCGACACUACACUCGUCUGGGCAACAAGAGUGAAACUCCGUCUCAAAAAAAAAAAAAGUCAGAUCUGUGUAAAGAGAAUUAGUGUACCUGAAAAUUGUUUUCAGCUGUCAAUCACUUUGGUCCUUUACUGUCAUUCUAAGAAUCAGCCUAAUUUGGUU